rnacentral:rRNA from 1 species
CCUACGGGUGGCAGCAGUGGGGAAUAUUGCGCAAUGGGCGCAAGCCUGACGCAGCAACGCCGCGUGAAGGAAGAAGGUUUUCGGGUUGUAAACUCCUUUUAUGAGGGAAGAGAAUAAGACGGUAUCACUUGAAUACGCCACGGCUAACUACGCGACAGCAGCCGCGGUAAUACGUAGGUGGCAAGCGUUGUCCGGAUUUACUGGGUGUAAAGGGCGUGCAGCCGGGAAGACAAGUCAGAUGUGAAAUCCCGUGGCUCAACCGCAGAACUGCAUUUGAAACUGGUUUUCUUGAGUACCGGAGAGGUCAGCGGAAUUCCUUGUGUAGCGGUGAAAUGCGGAGAUAUAAGGAAGAACACCAGUGGCGAAAGCGGAUGUCUGGACGGCAACUGACGGUGAGGCGCGAAAGCGUGGGGAGCAAACAGGAUUAGAUACCCCAGUAGUC